rfam:Oryza rufipogon genomic scaffold, chr03
AAUAUAUACAACCAUGAGUUUCUAUACCCAACUUUAAUCUCCCGUCUUAUUUGAAUUUUUUUUAUGAUUAAUAUUUUUAUUUUUAUUACAUGAUAAAACAUGAAUAAUACUUUAUGUAUGACUUCUGUUUUUAAAUUUUUCCAAAUAUUUUUAAAUAAAAUAGAUGAUUAAAACUGGAUACGAAAAAUUAUAGCUUUGCUUAAA